UACGAAGGGGGCUAGCGUUGCUCGGAAUCACUGGGCGUAAAGCGCACGUAGGCGGAUUGCUAAGUCAGGGGUGAAAUCCUGGAGCUCAACUCCAGAACUGCCCUUUGAUACUGGCGAUCUCGAGUCCGGGAGAGGUGAGUGGAACUGCGAGUGUAGAGGUGAAAUUCGUAGAUAUUCGCAAGAACACCAGUGGCGAAGGCGGCUCACUGGCCCGGUACUGACGCUGAGGUGCGAAAGCGUGGGGAGCAAACAGG
rnacentral:rRNA from 1 species